GGGCCCAUGGUCUAGUGGCUAUGACACCGCCUUUACACGGCGUUGAUCCCCGGUUCAAGUCCGGGUGGGCCCACCA
rnacentral:tRNA from 1 species